GCAAAAACCGGAUUCAGGCUGGUUUUGGUGUUGCGCUGCCUUUUAGGAAGGAGUUUGUCAGCCUCGAGAGAAUAAGAGAGCAGGUCCUGCACCCCUCCGAAAAUGGCACGUGGAAGUGGUUUCGAAAGCGCCGCCUUUGGUCUCCUUUCUGCAGGAUCCCUGCUCCCCACAAAUCAUACUGUGGAUCCAAAGCGGGCUCCUUAAUACUUGCGUGAAACGAGGGCGAAGACUAGACCCGUUGUCCCCAUGUUGGGAAAGAGCACCUUUCCCUUCCCCAGCAGGGUUGCCCGGUGCAGCUAGCGUCGUGUGGCCACCAGCUACCCAUGAAUCACAGCUGAAAAACUGCUUUGCCUGAGCCGUAAUAAUCUGAGACAGCAAAGGGAGAAGUGAUUCCAAUCAUGAUGCAGGCUGCCUCACGGUAGAACAUGAGCAGGUAAUGCACAAGGAGCACCACUGGGAAUCAUGUCAGACGAGUCAAUCUCAGGGAGUGAUCCGGACCUGGACCCGGACUUGGAGCAGGAGGAUAUGGAAGAGGAGGAGGAGGAAGAUGAGGAGGAGGCGAUGGAGGAGGACAACGAUGGGGAUGACGAGGAAGACUUACUUGAUGAGAAUGACCAACCCCAGGAAGCUGUGUUCAGCAGUGACCAUGUUGAACACACCGAGGAUGGAGAAUGGCAGCGCUCUACUUCAACUACCUCAUCUCAGAGUGAGCGGGCAGAGCGACUCUUGCAGAACCAGCACAAGAGCCUGGCCUCUGAGGACACCAAAAAGAAGAGGGCUCAGAAACCUUCUCACAUGCGGAGGAACAUAAGGUAAGCAACAGCAGGACGGAAAGAGUUAGGGUCCUAUACAGCCUUUUGGGGUAAAAAUGGAGUCUGUGGACUUUUUCUGAGCCAUGUUUUGCCACUGUUGGCAAACCAGAUGGCUUUUCUUUCCAAAACCUUAGGAUUUCACCAGUGGGAGUAAUAUGUUCUCAGUCUGGAGUGCUGCAUGUGGGUGCAAACUUGUUUGGUAUUUCAGAAGAGUACAAUAUACAGUUACAG
rnacentral:lncRNA from 1 species